CCACUAUAUAGAAUGCUGCGGUUCCUGAUGCUCUGCUGCUAAUCCCCCAGGCCUCUUGACGCUGGUGAUAGGGUCUCCAUUUUACAGAUACAACAAUAUUUUACCCAUUUUCUGGAAGUGGCUGUGUUUCAACAUAAUCCAAAAGACGUCUGAGUUAAAGUGAGGCUUGAGUCAGAGCACCUCAGAGAGUCUUUGAGUGGGGGCUCUUUCAACAUGUUAAAA
rnacentral:lncRNA from 1 species